rnacentral:lncRNA from 1 species
GAAGGUUCUUAAGAGCUAACAUCUGUGGAUGAUGUACCUGGAUCUUCUCUCUCUUGUGCGUAGGGGUGGGCUUCCUCCAUGUCUUCAAAAAGCACAGAUGUAGACAGUACCGACCAUAAUGGAGGCUCAUGAAUGAAUAGACACCUUCAGAAAUACUACUCUUUUUCCCUAGAAUGACGGAAGAUUUUGUAAUAUUUUCCCUGGCCUAACUAUCUCAAGGAAAAGCAAAAUGCAAAUUGAUAUUGACAGAGGACAACGAUGAAGGUAUAAGAAGCCAGACUUGACCAUCUGGAACCCUGCUGGGAACCCUAGCUCUGUAAACAUGUGAUUGGUCCAAAUCAUUGCUUUCUCACCUCACUUCCACCAAGCAUAUGGAGCCAGGGCCUCAGAUAAAGCUAGAAGUGACUGAGAAGGCACGAAAGCAGAGCAUACCUUUGGAUGGACUCAUGAAUGAGAGGAAGAGGAGGAAAAGAAGUUGGAAAUAACGUUAUUAUUCAGUUCCAUGAACUGGGCUUCUUGGAAUCCAAUGCUGGAAAAGACCUUAAAAAUAAUCAAGUCCCACUUCAUAGUGAGAAGACGGAGGUUCAGGAUUACACAAUGAGUGGCAGAGCCACUUAG